rnacentral:rRNA from 1 species
UGCAUGGCUGUCGUCAGCUCGUGUCGUGAGAUGUGGGUUAAGUCCCGCAACGAGCGCAACCCUUGCCUUUAGUUGCCAGCAGUUCGGCUGGGCACUCUAAAGGGACUGCCGGUGUUAAACCGGAGGAAGGUGGGGAUGACGUCAAGUCCUCAUGGCCUUUAUGGCCAGGGCUACACACGUACUACAAUGGCCGAUACAAAGGGCAGCGACACUGCGAGGUGAAGCCAAUCCCGUAAAAUCGGUCUCAGUCCGGAUUGGAGUCUGCAACUCGACUCCAUGAAGUUGGAAUCGCUAGUAAUCGUGGAUCAGCAUGCCACGGUGAAUACGUUCCCGGGCCUU